rnacentral:rRNA from 1 species
CCGGCGCUGUAGGAUGUGGCUGCGGCCGAUUAGGUAGAUGGUGGGGUAACGGCCCACCAUGCCGAUAAUCGGUACAGGUUGUGAGAGCAAGAGCCUGGAGACGGUAUCUGAGACAAGAUACCGGGCCCUACGGGGCGCAGCAGGCGCGAAACCUUUACACUGCACGACAGUGCGAUAGGGGGACUCCGAGUGUGAGGGCAUAUAGCCCUCGCUUUUCUGUACCGUAAGGUGGUACAAGAAUAAGGACUGGGCAAGACCGGUGCCAGCCGCCGCGGUAAUACCGGCAGUCCGAGUGAUGGCCGAUAUUAUUGGGCCUAAAGCGUCCGUAGCUUGCUGUGUAAGUCCAUUGGGAAAUCGACCAGCUCAACUGGUCGACGUCCGGUGGAAACUACACAGCUUGGGGCCGAGAGACUCAACGGGUACGUCCGGGGUAGGAGUGAAAUCCUGUAAUCCUGGACGGACCACCAAUGGGGAAACCACGUUGAGAGACCGGACCCGACAGUGAGGGACGAAAGCCAGGGUCUCGAACCGGAUUAGAUACCCGGGUAGUCCUGGCUGUAAACAAUGCUCGCUAGGUAUGUCACGCGCCAUGAGCACGUGAUGUGCCGUAGUGAAGACGAUAAGCGAGCCGCCUGGGAAGUACGUCCGCAAGGAUGAAACUUAAAGGAAUUGGCGGGGGAGCACCACAACCGGAGGAGCCUGCGGUUUAAUUGGACUCAACGCCGGACAUCUCACCGGUCCCGACAGUAGUAAUGACAGUCAGGUUGACGACUU